CAGUGCAAUAUUAAAAGGG
rnacentral:ncRNA from 2 species